AUUGAACGCUGGCGGCAGGCCUAACACAUGCAAGUCGCACGAGUGGCGGACGGGUGAGUAAUGUCUGGGAAACUGCCCGAUGGAGGGGGAUAAAUACUGGAAACGGUAGCUAAUACCGCAUACCAUCAGAUGUGCCCAGAUGGGAUUAGCUAGUAGGUGGGGUAAUGGCGCACUUAGGCGACGAUCACUAGCUGGUCUGAGAGGAUGACCAGCCAAACUGGAACUGAGACACGGUCCAGCCUCCUACGGGAGGCAGCAGUGGGGAAUAUUGCACAAUGGGCGCAAGCCGGAUGCAGCCAUGCCGCGUGUAUGAAGAAGGCCUUCGGUUUUUAAAGUACUUUCAGCGGGGAGGCGUUACCCGCAGAAGAAGCACCGGCUAACUCCGUGCCAGCAGCCGCGGGAAUAC
rnacentral:rRNA from 1 species